GAUGAACGCUGGCGGUGUGCCUAAUACAUGCAAGUCGAGCGAACAGACGAGGAGCUUACUCCUCUGACGUUAGCGGCGGACGGGUGAGUAACACGUGGAUAACCUACCUAUAAGACUGGGAUAACUUCGGGAAACCGGAGCUAAUACCGGAUAACAUGUUGAACCGCAUGGUUCAACAGUGAAAGACGGUCUUGCUGUCACUUAUAGAUGGAUCCGCGUCGCAUUAGCUAGUUGGUAAGGUAACGGCUUACCAAGGCAACGAUGCGUAGCCGACCUGAGAGGGUGAUCGGCCACACUGGAACGGAGACACGGUCCAGACUCCUACGGGAGGCAGCAGUAGGGAAUCUUACGCAAUGGGCGAAAGCAUGACGGAGCAACGCCGCGUGAGUGAAGAAGGUCUUCGGAUCGUAAAACUCUGUUAUUAGGGAAGAACAAAUGUGUAAGUAACUAUGCACGUCUUGACGGUACCUAAUCAGAAAGCAACGGCUAACUACGUG
rnacentral:rRNA from 1 species